rnacentral:rRNA from 1 species
AUAUUAUUAAGCGGAGGGAAAGAAACUAACAAGGACUCCCCUAGUAAUGGCGAAUGAAGAGGGAACAGCUCAAGAUUGAAUCGGGUGUCUAAACGGGCACUUGAGUUGUAAUCUAGAGAGCGUGUGAUCAACACGUGUACCCGGGCAUAACUCUUUGAAAAAAGGGAUCAUGGAGGGUGAGAAAGUCCCGAUCUAUGGACUC